UACGUAGGGUGCGAGCGUUGCCCGGAUUUAUUGGGCGUAAAGGGCGCGUAGGCGGCUCGGCACGUCCGUUGUGAAAUCGCUCGGCUCAACUGGGCGAGGUCAGCGGAUACGGUCGAGCUUGAGCCAGCUAGGGGGCAAUGGAAUUCCCGGUGUAGUGGUGGAAUGCGCAGAUAUCAGGAAGAACACCCGUGGCGAAGGCGGCUCUCUGGGACGGUACUGACGCUGAGACGCGAAAGCGUGGGGAGCGAACAGG
rnacentral:rRNA from 1 species